GGCGGCGCCAGCACUCUCCUCUCCGCCAAAGGCAAUAGUCGCCUCAGCUAAACCAUCUACAAACCAUUUAAAGCC
rnacentral:tRNA from 1 species